CAUAUCCUCUCUGACAUUCAUCAAUCUGGCUGUUGAUGUCUUCACAACUGUAGCAUGGAAGGAGGAAGUUCCUUAUUCUCUUAACCUAUCCUGAUUAUUUGAAAUAACUACUAUAAUAAGACAGCAGGUAUCGCAGGACAUCUAAUUUUAUCAGAGUUUCUGGAAUUAGUAAGCAAGGUAGACGUAGUGAGGACAUGAUUGCCACUUCAACAGUUAUAUCCAUUGGCUGAGGACUCUAAUCUUGAAUUACUCUCACCUCCAUCAACUCUACCCCCAAUCAUUGGAAUAAUCAACAAAGAAAGCCGGGAAAUGCAAAAAAAAUCUUCAUAAUCAAGCUCCCUGGGAAAGUUACUUAUUCCGAAUUAAGGGUUAUGGCUGCAUUGUCAUGUACUAUAACUUAACCAGCAUUGACAGCCAAUGAAGUUGGAUGGAUGCUUUAAAUGUCUGGCUCAGAAAGCA